rnacentral:rRNA from 1 species
AAGGAAUAUUGGUCAAUGGACGCAAGUCUGAACCAGCCAUGCCGCGUGAAGGAUGAAGGUCCUCUGGAUUGUAAACUUCUUUUAUCCGGGACGAAAACGGGAUUUUUAUCUCAAUUGACGGUACCAGAGGAAUAAGCACCGGCUAACUCCGUGCCAGCAGCCGCGGUAAUACGGAGGGUGCGAGCGUUAUCCGGAUUUGCUGGGUUUAAAGGGUGCGUAGGUGGGCUUAUAAGUCAGUGGUGAAAUCUCCGAGCUUAACUUGGAAACUGCCGUUGAUACUAUAGGUCUUGAAUUAUCUGGAGGUAAGCGGAAUAUGUCAUGUAGCGGUGAAAUGCUUAGAUAUGACAUAGAACACCGAUUGCGAAGGCAGCUUACUACAUAUAAAUUGACGCUGAGGCACGAAAGCGUGGGGAUCAAACA